rnacentral:rRNA from 1 species
UACAGAGGGUGCAAGCGUUGUUCGGAAUUAUUGGGCGUAAAGCGCACGUAGGCGGCUUCUCAAGUCAGGGGUGAAAUCCUGGAGCUCAACUCCAGAACUGCCUUUGAUACUGAGGGGCUCGAGUCCGGGAGAGGUGAGUGGAACUGCGAGUGUAGAGGUGAAAUUCGUAGAUAUUCGCAAGAACACCAGUGGCGAAGGCGGCUCACUGGCCCGGUACUGACGCUGAGGUGCGAAAGCGUGGGGAGCAAACAGG